rnacentral:rRNA from 1 species
UACGGAGGGGGCUAGCGUUGUUCGGAAUUACUGGGCGUAAAGCGCACGUAGGCGGCUUUGUAAGUCAGAGGUGAAAGCCCGGAGCUUAACUCCGGAAUUGCCUUUGAGACUGCAUCGCUUGAAUCCAGGAGAGGUGAGUGGAAUUCCGAGUGUAGAGGUGAAAUUCGUAGAUAUUCGGAAGAAACACCAGUGGCGAAGGCGGCUCACUGGA